rnacentral:rRNA from 1 species
CUAAGGCGAGGCCGAAAGGCGUAGUCGAUGGGAAACAGGUUAAUAUUCCUGUACUUGGUGUUACUGCGAAGGGGGGACGGAGAAGGCUAUGUUGGCCGGGCGACGGUUGUCCCGGUUUAAGCGUGUAGGCUGGUUUUCCAGGCAAAUCCGGAAAAUCAAGGCUGAGGCGUGAUGACGAGGCACUACGGUGCUGAAGCAACAAAUGCCCUGCUUCCAGGAAAAGCCUCUAAGCAUCAGGUAACAUCAAAUCGUACCCCAAACCGACACAGGUGGUCAGGUAGAGAAUACCAAGGCGCUUGAGAGAACUCGGGUGAAGGAACUAGGCAAAAUGGUGCCGUAACUUCGGGAGAAGGCACGCUGAUAUGUAGGUGAAGUCCCUUGCGGAUGGAGCUGAAAUCAGUCGAAGAUACCAGCUGGCUGCAACUGUUUAUUAAAAACACAGCACUGUGCAAACACGAAAGUGGACGUAUACGGUGUGACGCCUGCCCGGUGCCGGAAGGUUAAUUGAUGGGGUCAGCGCAAGCGAAGCUCUUGAUCGAAGCCCCGGUAAACGGCGGCCGUAACUAUAACGGUCCUAAGGUAGCGAAAUUCCUUGUCGGGUAAGUUCCGACCUGCACGAAUGGCGUAAUGAUGGCCAGGCUGUCUCCACCCGAGACUCAGUGAAAUUGAACUCGCUGUGAAGAUGCAGUGUACCCGCGGCAAGACGGAAAGACCCCGUGAACCUUUACUAUAGCUUGACACUGAACAUUGAGCCUUGAUGUGUAGGAUAGGUGGGAGGCUUUGAAGUGUGGACGCCAGUCUGCAUGGAGCCGGCCUUGAAAUACCACCCUUUAAUGUUUGAUGUUCUAACGUGGACCCGUGAUCCGGGUUGCGGACAGUGUCUGGUGGGUAGUUUGACUGGGGCGGUCUCCUCCUAAAGAGUAACGGAGGAGCACGAAGGUUGGCUAAUCCUGGUCGGACAUCAGGAGGUUAGUGCAAUGGCAUAAGCCAGCUUGACUGCGAGCGUGACGGCGCGAGCAGGUGCGAAAGCAGGUCAUAGUGAUCCGGUGGUUCUGAAUGGAAGGGCCAUCGCUCAACGGAUAAAAGGUACUCCGGGGAUAACAGGCUGAUACCGCCCAAGAGUUCAUAUCGACGGCGGUGUUUGGCACCUCGAUGUCGGCUCAUCACAUCCUGGGGCUGAAGUAGGUCCCAAGGGUAUGGCUGUUCGCCAUUUAAAGUGGUACGCGAGCUGGGUUUAGAACGUCGUGAGACAGUUCGGUCCCUAUCUGCCGUGGGCGCUGGAGAACUGAGGGGGGCUGCUCCUAGUACGAGAGGACCGGAGUGGACGCAUCACUGGUGUUCGGGUUGUCAUGCCAAUGGCACUGCCCGGUAGCUAAAUGCGGAAGAGAUAAGUGCUGAAAGCAUCUAAGCACGAAACUUGCCCCGAGAUGAGUUCUCCCUGACCCUUUAAGGGUCCUGAAGGAACGUUGAAGACGACGACGUUGAUAGGCCGGGUGUGUAAGCGCAGCGAUGCGUUGAGCUAACCGGUACUAAUGAACCGUGAG